AUUGAACGCUGGCGGCAGGCCUAACACAUGCAAGUCGAACGGUAACAGGAAGAAGCUUGCUUCUUUGCUGACGAGUGGCGGACGGGUGAGUAAUGUCUGGGAAACUGCCUGAUGGAGGGGGAUAACUACUGGAAACGGUAGCUAAUACCGCAUAACGUCGCAAGACCAAAGAGGGGGACCUUCGGGCCUCUUGCCAUCGGAUGGGCCCAGAUGGGAUUAGCUAGUAGGUGGGGUAACGGCUCACCUAGGCGACGAUCCCUAGCUGGUCUGAGAGGAUGACCAGCCACACUGGAACUGAGACACGGUCCAGACUCCUACGGGAGGCAGCAGUGGGGAAUAUUGCACAAUGGGCGCAAGCCUGAUGCAGCCAUGCCGCGUGUAUGAAGAAGGCCUUCGGGUUGUAAAGUACUUUCAGCGGGGAGGAAGGGAGUAAAGUUAAUACCUUGGCUCAUUGACGUUACCCGCAGAAGAAGCACCGGCUAACUCCGUG
rnacentral:rRNA from 1 species